UACGAAGGGGGCGAGCGUUGUUCGGAGUGACUGGGCGUAAAGGGCGCGUAGGCGGCGAUCCAAGUUAGGCGUGAAAGCCCCGGGCUUAACCUGGGAAUUGCGCUUAAGACUGGACUGCUUGAGUGCGGGAGAGGUGAGUGGAAUUCCCAGUGUAGAGGUGAAAUUCGUAGAUAUUGGGAAGAACACCAGUGGCGAAGGCGGCUCACUGGCCCGCAACUGACGCUGAGGCGCGAAAGCGUGGGGAGCAAACAGG
rnacentral:rRNA from 1 species